AGCGAACGCUGGCGGUAGGCCUAACACAUGCAAGUCGAACGGCAGCACAGUAAGAGCUUGCUCUUACGGGUGGCGAGUGGCGGACGGGUGAGGAAUACAUCGGAAUCUACUUUUUCGUGGGGGAUAACGUAGGGAAACUUACGCUAAUACCGCAUACGACCUACGGGUGAAAGCAGGGGAUCUUCGGACCUUGCGCGAGUGAAUGAGCCGAUGUCGGAUUAGCUAGUUGGCGGGGUAAAGGCCCACCAAGGCGACGAUCCGUAGCUGGUCUGAGAGGAUGAACAGCCACACUGGAAGUGAGACAGGGUCGAGACUCCUACGGGAGGCAGCGGUGGGGACUAUUGGACAAUGGGGGCAAGCGUGAUCCAGCCAUACCGCGUGGGUGAAGAAGGCCUUCGGGUUGGAGAGCCCUUUUGUUGGGAGAGAAGAGCAGCAGGUUAAUACCCCGCUGUUCUGACGGUACCCGAAGAAUAAGCACCGGCUAACUUCGUG
rnacentral:rRNA from 1 species